CUGUCCCUUGAUCGGAAGAGCCGCCAGCCAGGGGACAGGUGGCCCCAGCAGCAAGUGACAGCCAGUGCCCAUGGCCGGGGACAGCGGGAUGGCCGGGAAGGUGGCGCUGCUCCUGUGGGCCCAGACCCUCGGCCUCGCUGGUGCCCAGACCCCCCAGCUCCUGGUGGAGCCCCCCUGGACGCCGGCGGUGCUGUGGGACCGGGUGACACUGACCUGCCAGGGCUCGGGGACCGCCGGUGACACCACCUGGUACAAGGACGGGCGGCGCUGGGGG